rnacentral:tRNA from 1 species
CCAUUGGAUAGCUCAGUGGUAGAGCAGCCGCGAAAGCGGUAGGCCGCGGGUUCGAAUCCCGCUCCAGGGCA